rnacentral:rRNA from 1 species
AUUGAACGCUGGCGGCAGGCCUAACACAUGCAAGUCGAACGGUAACACGAAACAUCUUGCUGUUUCGCUGACGAGUGGCGGACGGGUGAGUAAUGUCUGGGAAACUUCCUGAUGGAGGGGGAUAACUACUGGAAACGGUAGCUAAUACCGCAUAACGUCGCAAGACCAAAGAGGGGGACCUUCGUGCCUCUUGCCAUCGGAUGUGCCCCGAUGGGAUUAGCUAGUAGGUGGGGUAACGGCUCACCUAGGGGACGAUCCCUAGCUGGUCUGAGAGGAUGACCGGCGACACUGGAACUGAACCACGGACAAGAGUACUACGGGACGCAGCAGUGGGGAAUAUUGGGCAGUGGGGGCAAGCCUGGUGCAGCGGGGGCGAGUGUAUGGAGAAGGCGUUGCGGUUGUAAAGUACGUUUAGCGGGGAGAAACGGAGUAAAGUUAAUACGUAGAGUCAGUGACGUUACCCGCAGAAGAAGCACCGGCUAACUACGUG